CCUACGGGAGGCAGCAGUGGGGAAUAUUGGACAAUGGACGCAAGCCUGAUCCAGCAAUGCCGCGUGAGUGAUGAAGGCCUUAGGGUCGUAAAGCUCUUUUACCAGGGAUGAUAAUGACAGUACCUGGAGAAUAAGCUCCGGCUAACUCCGUGCCAGCAGCCGCGGUAAUACGGAGGGAGCUAGCGUUGUUCGGAAUUACUGGGCGUAAAGCGUACGUAGGCGGUUAUUCAAGUCAGAGGUGAAAGCCCGGGGCUCAACCCCGGAACGGCCUUUGAAACUAGGUAGCUAGAAUCUUGGAGAGGUCAGUGGAAUUCCGAGUGUAGAGGUGAAAUUCGUAGAUAUUCGGAAGAACACCAGUGGCGAAGGCGACUGACUGGACAAGUAUUGACGCUGAGGUACGAAAGCGUGGGGAGCAAACAGGAUUAGAUACCCUGGUAGUCCACGCCGUAAACGAUGAUAACUAGCUGUUCGGGCACUUGGUGCUUGAGUGGCGCAGCUAACGCAUUAAGUUAUCCGCCUGGGGAGUACGGUCGCAAGAUUAAAACUCAAAUGAAUUGACGG
rnacentral:rRNA from 1 species